ACAUUGAACCUUCGGGGGAUUUGUUGGGCGGCGAGCGGCGGACGGGUGAGUAAUGCCUAGGAAAUUGCCCUGAUGUGGGGGAUAACCAUUGGAAACGAUGGCUAAUACCGCAUGAUGCCUACGGGCCAAAGAGGGGGACCUUCGGGCCUCUCGCGUCAGGAUAUGCCUAGGUGGGAUUAGCUAGUUGGUGAGGUAAGGGCUCACCAAGGCGACGAUCCCUAGCUGGUCUGAGAGGAUGAUCAGCCACACUGGAACUGAGACACGGUCCAGACUCCUACGGGAGGCAGCAGUGGGGAAUAUUGCACAAUGGGCGCAAGCCUGAUGCAGCCAUGCCGCGUGUAUGAAGAAGGCCUUCGGGUUGUAAAGUACUUUCAGUCGUGAGGAAGGUUCAUGCGUUAAUAGCGUAUGGAUUUGACGUUAGCGACAGAAGAAGCACCGGCUAACUCCGUGCCAGCAGCCGCGGUAAUACGGAGGGUGCGAGCGUUAAUCGGAAUUACUGGGCGUAAAGCGCAUGCAGGUGGUUAGUUAAGUCAGAUGUGAAAGCCCGGGGCUCAACCUCGGAAUUGCAUUUGAAACUGGCUGACUAGAGUACUGUAGAGGGGGGUAGAAUUUCAGGUGUAGCGGUGAAAUGCGUA
rnacentral:rRNA from 1 species